rnacentral:pre_miRNA from 1 species
UUAGUACUCCCUCCGUUCCGAAUUACUUGUCGUAGGUAUGGAUGUAUCUAGAUGUAUUUUAGUUCUAGAUACAUCCAUUUCUUCGACAAGUAAUUUGGAACGGAGGGAGUAUAUU